rnacentral:rRNA from 1 species
AUUGAACGCUAGCGGGAUGCUUUACACAUGCAAGUCGAACGGCAGCGCGGACUUCGGUCUGGCGGCGAGUGGCGAACGGGUGAGUAAUGUAUCGGAACGUGCCCAGUAGCGGGGGAUAACUACGCGAAAGCGUAGCUAAUACCGCAUAAGCCCUACGGGGGAAAGCAGGGGAUCGUAAGACCUUGCACUAUUGGAGCGGCCGAUAUCGGAUUAGCUAGUUGGUGAGGUAACGGCUCACCAAGGCGACGAUCCGUAGCUGGUUUGAGAGGACGACCAGCCACACUGGGACUGAGACACGGCCCAGGCUCCUACGGGAGGCAGCAGUGGGGAAUUUUGGACAAUGGGGGCAACCUUGAUCCAGCCAUCCCGCGUGUGCGAUGAAGGCCUUCGGGUUGUAAAGCACUUUUGGCAGGAAAGAAACGUCGCGGGCUAAUACCCCGUGGAACUGACGGUACCUGCAGAAUAAGCACCGGCUAACUACGUG